UUCAUCAUUAACGGGUGAUUGAUGAAUAAACUUUUCACCUUGGCUCAUUACAGACAUUAACUCUCCAUUUUGUUUCUUGUAAUUAUACGGCAUUUGCAAUCUCUCCUUUACAUUGUUUAAUACCAAUCCAGUGAUACUACACUUCGAACAAUAUUGGAUAGAAUUUGAAAUUCUGUAUAACAUCUUGUCAAUCUAUGCUUUAGUUAAAACAUUUAGCGCUUAUAUUUAAAAAAUAUAUAAAAUAUGAAAACAGAUUGAAAGGAUAUUAUACCUUGCUCUACCCUUUUUUAUAAAAAAUCACACACAUUUGAGAAAAUUUGAUAAUGUCAAUAAAUCACGCCAUCGCCAUUGUUAUUAGGUAUAUAUUGUUCUUAUAAUGGCCAAACUAUUAUUCCAUUUACAUUAAUGGGGUUCGCUUGUGUUAAUGUACUGUAAAAAACUGGGGAAGUAUUGGUGAUGAUGAAGUGAUUUAUAUUAAUUGCGAAACACCUUCGAUAGCAAACGAUAUUAAACAUGUACAAAUCAAGCUAAAUAUUACGUGAAAAUCACUGUUUAGUGUUUUUCUUUUUGUUUAUUUCUUCUUUAAUUUUUUCAGGAGAUUUUAAAUUUUCAGCGUUCUUUAAUUUUCCUAAGACUUCAUUACUUCCUGUCAAUCCUCCAGUGAAUUGAUAGUUUUCUUCAGGUGACCCAUAUGCAACAAAAUCAGCUUCUUUAUUUUCAUUGAUGUAACCUUCAAUUACUGCAUCGCCCAUAGGUCCUCUUUUUAAACUUGUGAAAUGUACAGAUUUGAUGGUAUUGGGUUCUUUGGUAUUAUGCUUGAGAUAAAGUGUAAUGCGCUCUUGUUGUCCUUUGUAAUAAAUUUCUUUUUGUUUUUCUUUUUCGUCAUAUUUCAUUUUUAAAUAAAUGACGGAUGCAACUAUACAUAUACAUAAAAUGACACCAAUAAUUAUAAAACCAUGUUUUUUGGACAUUAAAGCAACUCCUAACUUUAGUAACUCUUCUUUUUAUUUAGUUCUUUUUUUAUACCAUCUGGUGAUUUUAAUUGAUGCGCUGGUUUUAGUAACUCACUUAAUCUUUCACUUUUAAUUAAAUCACCUACAAAUUGAAAGUUAUUUUCAGGUGAUGCAUAGGCAACAAAAUCAUCUUUUUUGUUUUCAUUUAUGUAACCUUCAAUCACAGCACUUCCCAUAGGACUUGUUUCCAAUUUUGUGAAAUGCACAGAUUUAAUCGUGUUCGGUUCUUUAGUGUUAUGCUUGAGAUAAAGUGUAAUGCGCGCUUGUUGUUCUUUAUAGUAUAUUGAUUUUUGUUUUUCUUUUUCGUCAUAUUUCAUUUUAAAAUAGAUACUUGCAACACUAAUUAAUAUGAUUAACAUAAUACUAGUUAAUAUUAAAAUUUUCUUUUUCGACAUCUAUCACCAGCUCCUAAAAUGUGGUGGGAUUUUAUACAGUUUACAUAUUUAUGAUACUACAAAACACACUCUUACAAAGAAAAUCUAUAAUUUUAAUCUAGGUCAAGGAAAAGCAGCCAAAAGUGUUCAUUUAAGAUCAUCGGAAUAUUGCGGUUAUGAAGUGGUUAACAGAUAAAUACAGUGAAAAUUGUACUAAAAAUUCAACUUUUCAUUUUUAUGUGUAAGUAUGAUUAACUUGAAAGCAAAAUUAAAACGACCGCAUUGUUUUAGCGGUCGUUCUUUUUAGAAUCUAGUUCUUUUUUUAUAUCAUCAGGCGUUUUGGUUUGAUGUGCUGGUUUUAAUAAUGUGCUUAAAUUUUUACUUUUGAUUAAACUUCCACCAAAUUGAUAAUUAUGUUCUGGAGACCCAUAUGCAACAAAAUUAUCUUCUUUAUUUUCAUUGAUGUAACCUUCAAUUACGGCAUCGCCCAUAGGUCCUGUCUUUAAACUUGUGAAAUGCACAGAUUUGAUCGUGUUCGGUUCUUUAGUGUUAUGCUUGAGAUAGAGUGUAAUACGCUCUUGUUGUUCUUUAUAAUAAAUUGAUUUUUGCUUUUCUUUUUCGUCAUAUUUCACUUUUAAAUAAAUGACUGUAGCAACUAUACAUAUACAUAAAAUAACACCAAUAAUUAUAAAAACAUGUUUUUUGGUCAUUAAAGCAACUCCUAGAAUAUGGUAGGAAAUGAAAAAGUUUUUAUAGUUCUGUAAUUAUGAACAUUAUAGAUUAUAAAUCAUAACACUAAUAUAGUCGCCUUCACUCACUUGAUUGUUAAAAUCACCAAUUACUGAGAAUUGUACAAGGAAUAAUUGUCUAUCAUGCCCUUAUAUCAUUAUUGCCUUACUAAUAUUAACAAAACCGAUAGCUAUUACAUUAAAUGCCUAUAUCCCAGACCUCAAACACCUUUUUAUACAGGACGCACUGUAAUUUCAUUCACGUUAACGUGCUUUGGUUGUGUUAAUGCAUAUAAUACUGCUUCUGCAAUAUCUUGUGGUUCAAGUUUUUUACGAUCUGUUGGAUUGUAUGCGGCAGUUAUUGCUGUAUCUACCAUUCCUGGAGAAAUGCUUGUUACUUUAACACCUGUCUUUGCCAACUCUUUUUCUAAUCCUUGAGUAAUAGUGUGAACUGCUGCUUUCGUCGCACUAUAAAUCGUACUGCUUUUCGUUACUUCAAAGCCAGAAAUAGAUGCAAUGUUAAUAAGAUGACCACUUGAUUGUUCUAACAUAGUUGGUAAUGCAGCCUGUGCCGUAUAUAAAGUGCCUUUGAUAUUCACAUCAAUCAUACUAUCCCACUCAUCUACUUGAUAAUCAGUAAUCUUAGACGAUAACAUUUGUCCCGCACUAUUGAUAACAAUAUCCAAACCACCGAAUGUUUGUUGUGCAAUUUUUAUCAAUUCAUCGACUUCUUCUUUUUUCGUUACAUCUGUUGGCACUACCUUCACACUAUCUUGAGCUAAUUGAUUCGCCACAUUUUGUAGUUUAUCUUUAUUUCUACCGGCUAAGAUGACUUUCACACCCUCUUCAUGUAGUAAUGUUGCAAUUGCUUCUCCAAUACCACUACCUGCACCUGUAACUACUGCUACUUUAUCUGUUAAUACUGUCAUAAUGAUCGACUCCUUUGAUUCUUUUUAUUUUUUCAGGGUAAAUCAUAAAUACAUAUUACUUUUAAAAAGCGUAUCACAAUUCAUAUAACGGUCAUAAUAACUCGCUUCAUUUUCAUAGAUAAAUUACAUUACAAGCCAUUCUAAAUAUACAAUUAAUCGUUGCUUAUAUUUUUUAUUUUUAAAAAUGUUGAAAAAUCGUCACUUCUUUAUUGUAAAAACAUUAUAUUAGUACUAAAGUUAAUACUGUGAUUUAUCAUUCGAUUGAAUGAUUAGAGGGAGGAAUAAAACGUGACAUAUCAUGAGCGUGUUUUAGCAUUAAGAGCAGAAAGUAAAAGAACCGCAUUUGAUUUUCGAUUCGAAGAUUUAUUUAGCAAAGAAGAAUGGCUAAGUAUGUCGCUUGCAGAAAGACAAAAAGCUGAAAAAGCAUUUCGACACGAAGUUAAAAAUAUGGACGAUGUAAGAAUGCCCUUCUCAAGUGUCCAUGACGCCCAAGUAAAAUUAUAUAAUGUUGUAUAUUCUUAUAACGGCAUUAAACGUAAUUUUAAACAAGUUGAAAAUGAAGGAUUCUAAUAUCAUUUCGUUUAUAUAUAGCAGACAUGAUAGAAUUUUAUAUGUAAAUCUUGUAGGUUGUAAAUGUCAAUAUAAAAAUGUACAUAAAUGAUUGUAUAAGAAUGUACAAAAUUGUUUGCUAAGUAAUUUCCUUCUUAGGUGAAUGAUCUUUUAAUCUAUACGAUUUGCCUUUGAUUUUAACUACACUUGAAUGAUGCAAUAUCCUAUCCAAAAUCGCAUUUGCGAUUUUUGGAUCAUCAAAUAUUUCAUUCCAUAAGUUGAAAUUGAUAUUUGUGGUAAAUAUUGUACUUUUCUUCUCAUAUCUUAAAUCUAUUAAUUGAAAGAAUAGUUUGGCAUCUUCACUUCCAAUAGGUAAGUACCCAAUCUCAUCUAUGAUUAAUAACUUAUACUUGCUAUAGUGCUUCAAUCUAUUUUCUAAUCUGUUCUCAAGUUUUGCUUUUCUUAAAUUCUCUAUCAAAUGAUGACAUUUAAUAAAGUAAGUACUCACUCUAUUUUUAGCUGCAGNCGUUGAUUUCACACUGCCGAGAAAAGCCUCUAGAUAGAAAAUAGGUGCCCGUACCGCAAACCGACACAGGUAGUCAAGAUGAGAAUUCUAAGGUGAGCGAGCGAACUCUCGUUAAGGAACUCGGCAAAAUGACCCCGUAACUUCGGGAGAAGGGGUGCUCUUUAGGGUUAACGCCCAGAAGAGCCGCAGUGAAUAGGCCCAAGCGACUGUUUAUCAAAAACACAGGUCUCUGCUAAACCGUAAGGUGAUGUAUAGGGGCUGACGCCUGCCCGGUGCUGGAAGGUUAAGAGGAGUGGUUAGCUUCUGCGAAGCUACGAAUCGAAGCCCCAGUAAACGGCGGCCGUAACUAUAACGGUCCUAAGGUAGCGAAAUUCCUUGUCGGGUAAGUUCCGACCCGCACGAAAGGCGUAACGAUUUGGGCACUGUCUCAACGAGAGACUCGGUGAAAUCAUAGUACCUGUGAAGAUGCAGGUUACCCGCGACAGGACGGAAAGACCCCGUGGAGCUUUACUGUAGCCUGAUAUUGAAAUUCGGCACAGCUUGUACAGGAUAGGUAGGAGCCUUUGAAACGUGAGCGCUAGCUUACGUGGAGGCGCUGGUGGGAUACUACCCUAGCUGUGUUGGCUUUCUAACCCGCACCACUUAUCGUGGUGGGAGACAGUGUCAGGCGGGCAGUUUGACUGGGGCGGUCGCCUCCUAAAAGGUAACGGAGGCGCUCAAAGGUUCCCUCAGAAUGGUUGGAAAUCAUUCAUAGAGUGUAAAGGCAUAAGGGAGCUUGACUGCGAGACCUACAAGUCGAGCAGGGUCGAAAGACGGACUUAGUGAUCCGGUGGUUCCGCAUGGAAGGGCCAUCGCUCAACGGAUAAAAGCUACCCCGGGGAUAACAGGCUUAUCUCCCCCAAGAGUUCACAUCGACGGGGAGGUUUGGCACCUCGAUGUCGGCUCAUCGCAUCCUGGGGCUGUAGUCGGUCCCAAGGGUUGGGCUGUUCGCCCAUUAAAGCGGUACGCGAGCUGGGUUCAGAACGUCGUGAGACAGUUCGGUCCCUAUCCGUCGUGGGCGUAGGAAAUUUGAGAGGAGCUGUCCUUAGUACGAGAGGACCGGGAUGGACAUACCUCUGGUGUACCAGUUGUCGUGCCAACGGCAUAGCUGGGUAGCUAUGUGUGGACGGGAUAAGUGCUGAAAGCAUCUAAGCAUGAAGCCCCCCUCAAGAUGAGAUUUCCCAACUUCGGUUAUAAGAUCCCUCAAAGAUGAUGAGGUUAAUAGGUUCGAGGUGGAAGCAUGGUGACAUGUGGAGCUGACGAAUACUAAUCGAUCGAAGACUUAAUCAA
rnacentral:rRNA from 1 species